UGACCGCGGGCGGCGCUUCUCCGCGCACGGGAGGUGGGGCUUUUUCAGGCUAUUCACCUAGCGGCCAGAGGGACGAGCUGCUGUCCGCUGGGUGGCCCGGAACGGCUUCCUGAGAGACUGCAAGGGUCCCGAGCAGCCGCAGGACUUGCCCAGCCCCUGGUCCGGCACAGGUAGGACGGUGGGAAGCCAGAAGUUUUGAAAACUUUGUAGAAGCACAGCCGAAUAUGCCGGCGGACCGAACGCGUUCGAGGGGAGAGCGCCGACCGCGCGAGGAGGCGGGCCUGGUUCACGGUCACUAUCUCGCGACAUCCAAGUGACGUCGCCCGGCAGUGCGUGUUGGACUCGUCCGUCCGCAGCCGGCCUUCUCCGCCUGCGGGCCUACUUAAGCGAGUGACGGACAGUUACUUCAGCCUAUCGAGUUUCUCAUCAACUUCCAAUCAGAUUUAAACUUCUUUCGGCCGCCACCGGAGUUGGAAGAGGGGGUGAGAGAAAGUGAGACAAGGAGCGCUCUCUCUCGCGAGAUCGCCAAGAUCCGGCCUUUCGGGAAAAAAAAAAAAAAAAAAACACGCCACAGCGGCUGGUCUGGCUUCCCAAAUAACGGGAUAAAGGACGGGGCCACCAGCCAAUGAGAGGCGCGAGGAGGCGGGACCGCUGUUUUCACUGCGCAGAAGUACCGUUACAGAGCAGACUCUGUGCCCAAUCAAAGCCUUCAGACUUUUGGUCAAGUGACCUGAGUGCGAGGGGCGGAGCUACGGCCUGGCGCGAGGAACCGUUAAGAUAGACAACGAAGGUAACCAAUGAGGAACUCGGACUAGUGCGUCGGGAGUCCUGUAACAGUGGUUGGGCGGGCGCCUUCCCGGAGCGCGGGGAGAUGUGAAGAUAGACAAAUUAUUUUCCCAAUGAGACUGUAGGAGAGAAAGCUAAUUGACCAAUGAGGAUUUCGGGGCGGGAUCCUUCGCCGCGGCGGAGUCCAAGAUGGCGGCGUGCGGUUCCGCUGUGUGAAACGAGCGCGGGGCGGCGGGUUAAUCUGCUCCGCGGAGACGACCUCCGAGGACCCGCAGCCAUGAAGGGAAAAGAACGCUCUCCAGUCAAGGCCAAACGCUCCCGUGGUGGUGAGGACUCGACUUCUCGCGGCGGGGAGCGGAGCAAGAAGUUGGGGGGCUCUGGUGGCAGCAAUGGUAGCAGCAGCGGAAAGAUCGACAGCGGCGGCGGGUCGCGGCGGAGCCUUCACCUGGACAAGUCGAGCAGCCGAGGUGGUAGCCGCGAGUAUGACACCGGUGGGGGCAGCUCCAGUAGCCGCAUGCAUAGUUACAGCUCCCCGAGCACCAAAAAUUCUUCAGGCGGGGGCGAGUCGCGCAGCAGCUCCCGGGGUGGAGGCGGGGAGUCACGUUCCUCAGGGGCCGCCUCUUCGGCUCCCGACGGCGGGGAAUACAAGACCCUCAAGAUCAGCGAAUUGGGGUCCCAGCUGAGCGACGAAGCGGUGGAGGACGGUCUGUUUCACGAGUUCAAACGCUUCGGUGAUGUAAGUGUCAAAAUCAGCCAUCUCUCGGGUUCCGGCAGCGGGGAUGAGCGGGUAGCCUUUGUGAACUUCCGGCGGUCAGAGGACGCGCGGGCGGCCAAGCAUGCUAGAGGCCGCCUGGUGCUCUAUGACCGGCCCCUGAAGAUAGAAGCCGUGUACGUGAGCCGGCGUCGCAGCCGCUCGCCUUUAGACAAAGAUGCGUACCCUCAGUCGGCCAGCGUGGUCGGGGCCUCGGUCGGUGGUCACCGGCACCCUCCUGGAGGAGGUGGUGGCCAGAGAGCGCUUUCUCCUGGUGGCGCCGCCUUGGGAUACAGAGACUACCGGUUGCAGCAGUUGGCGCUGGGCCGCUUGCCCCCUCCGCCUCCACCACCGCUGCCCAGAGAGCUGGAGAGAGAACGAGACUACCCGUUCUAUGAGAGAGUGCGUCCAGCAUACAGUCUUGAGCCCAGGGUGGGAGCUGGAGCAGGUGCUGCCCCUUUCAGAGAUGUGGACGAGAUUUCCCCCGAGGAUGAUCAGCGGGCCAACCGGACGCUUUUCUUGGGCAACCUAGACAUCACUGUGACAGAGAGUGACUUGAGAAGGGCUUUUGACCGCUUUGGCGUUAUCACUGAAGUCGACAUCAAGAGGCCUUCUCGUGGCCAGACCAGUACAUAUGGUUUUCUCAAAUUUGAGAACCUGGACAUGUCUCACCGGGCCAAACUAGCAAUGUCCGGCAAAAUUAUUAUUCGGAAUCCUAUUAAAAUUGGUUAUGGUAAAGCGACACCCACCACUCGCCUCUGGGUAGGCGGCCUGGGACCUUGGGUGCCACUUGCUGCCCUGGCACGAGAGUUUGAUCGGUUUGGCACCAUACGCACCAUAGACUACCGAAAAGGUGAUAGUUGGGCGUAUAUUCAGUAUGAAAGUCUGGACGCAGCUCAUGCUGCCUGGACCCACAUGCGGGGCUUUCCACUUGGUGGCCCAGAUCGUCGCCUUAGAGUAGACUUUGCCGACACAGAACAUCGUUACCAGCAACAGUAUCUGCAGCCUCUGCCUUUGACUCACUACGAACUGGUGACAGAUGCUUUUGGACAUCGAGCGCCUGACCCUUUGCGGGGUGCCCGCGAUAGGACACCACCCUUACUGUACAGAGAUCGGGAUAGGGACCUUUAUUCCGAUUCUGACUGGGUGCCACCCCCACCUCCGGUCCGGGAGCGCAGCACGCGGACUGCAGCUACUGCCGGGACUGCUUACGAGCCGCUGGAUAGCCUGGAUCGCAGGCGGGAUGGCUGGUCCUUGGACCGGGACAGAGGUGAUCGGGAGCUGCCCAGCAGCAGAGACCAGUCUCGGAAGCGGAGACUGCCGGAUGACAGCGGAGGACGCCAUCUGGAUAGGUCGCCUGAGAGCGAGCGGCCACGGAAACAUCACUGUGCUCCUUCUCCUGACCGCAGUCCAGAGCUGAGCAGCAGUCGGGAUCGUUACAACAGUGACAACGAUAGAUCCUCCCGUCUCUUACUCCUGGAACGGUCUUCUCCAGUCAGAGACAGACGAGGUAGUUUGGAGAAGAGCCAGGGUGACAAGCGGGACCGUAAAAACUCUGCAUCAGCCGAGCGGGAUAGGAAGCACCGGACAGCUGCUCCCACUGAGGGAAAGAGCCCUCUGAAAAAGGAAGACCGGUCUGAUGGGAGUGCGCCCAGCUCCAGCACUGCUUCAUCAAAGCUCAAGUCCCCUGCCCAGAAACAGGAUGGGGGCGCAGCCCCUGCAGCAGCAGCAGCAGCAGCUUCUCCAAAACUCUGCUUGGCCUGGCAAGGAAUGCUUCUGUUGAAGAACAGCAACUUUCCUUCCAACAUGCAUCUGUUGCAGGGCGACCUCCAAGUGGCCAGCAGUCUUCUUGUGGAGGGUUCCACUGGAGGCAAAGUGGCUCAGCUGAAGAUCACUCAGCGUCUCCGUUUGGACCAGCCCAAGUUGGAUGAAGUAACUCGACGCAUCAAAGUGGCAGGGCCUAAUGGUUAUGCCAUUCUACUGGCUGUGCCUGGAAGUUCUGAGAGCCAGAGCCGGUCCUCCUCCUCUUCGGCCACGACAGACACUGCCAGCUCCACUCAGAGGCCACUUAGGAACCUCGUGUCCUAUUUAAAGCAAAAGCAGGCAGCUGGGGUGAUUAGCCUUCCUGUGGGGGGCAACAAAGACAAGGAAAACACCGGGGUCCUACAUGCCUUCCCACCUUGUGAAUUCUCCCAGCAGUUCCUGGAUUCUCCUGCCAAGGCACUGGCCAAAUCUGAAGAAGAUUACCUGGUCAUGAUCAUUGUCCGUGUGUUUGAGUGUAAGAUAGGAGUUAAGUUUGAGGAGAAGCAAAGUGGAGCUGACCCUGUUAACAGUGAUGUCCCCUAAAGAGAAAAUGAUUUCAGGUAACCAUAGUGAAAUGUUAUGCUUAAUCAAGAGUUCCAUAUGUAUGAUUUAAAGCAGUUGAAAAGUGAGAGUCUUGAGGUGUUCUUCGUUUCACAAUUGUUUUGGAUGUUUCUUUGAAGUAACAGCUGCUGUCUUUGCUAGUAUGGAUGGAGGUGGAUUCUUAAAUGGCUGUGCCCCUUUCUAUAACGGAGUAGUCUGUGUUGCUCCAUAUUAUUUACAGAAUGAAAAUAGAGAGGGUGAAAGUUUCACGAAACUCCACCACUUUGUACUUUCCUUUAAAAUUAUAGUUAGAAUAUAUUGAUAGACUAUAAAAUGAUGGUAAACUUUUUUUCUGAGUUUUUGACAUAUUUUACUCAGUUACAUGAGUAAUUCUCAAUUGCAAUCUUAAAAAAAAAACUCACUGUAUUGUUCUACUUGUUAUUUGUCUAUUCAUACAGUAAAUUCAUUUCAAGGGUUGUGCCAGUGGGUAUUAUUGGUGCUUUUUGAAGUUGAGUUGGGACUAUCCAGGAAGGUCUUGUUAAUGUAAUGUUCAUCUAUAAUGGCAUAGGGGAAAGAUAUAUAUUUUUAAUAUUGUAAAAACAUUUGUACUGAAUAACCUUUUUUUCCCCCCCUGCAAGCAAAACUGGUGAACAGCGGAUGAAGAAAUGGAAUUCAAAGCUCUAAUGGACCUUUUUGAAGAGAAGUUGUGGCUUAUGUGGAGUUUACAUGGGCUUCUGAUGGAAGAAAUCUAAUCUGUUUAGUAUUUGUGCAUUUUACUAAAAUGGCAGCUUAAAGUUGUGUAUCUGCUAUUGUGAUGCCAAUGCCGGUGUUUUAAGUGGAAAAAAAAAAUGACCUCUUUGCUUUGUGCUGUGUACACAAGAUUUCUGGAAAAGUAAAGAAAAACCCUUUUUAUGGCUCACACAGCUUAAAAGUAGCUGUCACUCAAAACGUGCGCUCACAGUUGAGCUGCUUUUGUUUUAUUCUAAAUAAAUUGUUUCUUUUGAGGAAAAUGUUUUUCUGCCUGGAAGUGAAUUGACAACAACCUUUGACCCCUUUGUUUGCAGCCAAGGGGGUACUUGUUGCUGCUCAGAUCUUGUAUGUCUUGAGCAAGAAGCAGGGAGAUCAUCAAUUUCAUUUUGACUAUCACGGUGUUUCGAUUCUGAAGGAUCACUAGUGUUACUGUGAUUCCCUUUGUGUGCAGUGAAGGGGAUCCUUUGCUUCUCGGUCCUCAACGUGAUGAGGAAAUGGUGCUGUUUGCUGGCACACAAGAAGCCGGGGCAAGCACCCUAAACCUCACCACAGUGCACGAGUCGGGGGCUUUGCUGGUUUGAAGAGCCGGAGUUGCUGAAAUUUAAGUUUUGAUUUAUUUUGUUCACCCAUCACCUUUGACCUUAGUUUCAUUUUUAAUUUGAAGAGAAGUUUGAAAUUGUUUUAUCUUGCACUUAACAUUUGCACCAAAUUGCCAAAAGAAGGAGAAAUACUCCGUUUGCUUUUUAAGUGUUAAUGAUGAUGUUAAUAAAACCUUUGCUGACCCAAUUGAGGAGCUCCUCCGUCUCCAGGGGCUUCUUCUCAGAGUUAUGCGGUGAUGGGUUUAGUUCUGAAUGGAUGAAGAGUUCCUGAGAGCUAGCGUUUGUAAUUAGAACCUUAACUUGGUAUCUGUGCCUUAUUUGACCUGUGGUUCCACGUGCCUUGGAUGUGCAUGCACCGUGACGGUUUCACAGGUACGAACGCACACUCAGGCCCAGUCACCUCGGUUGGUAGUACAGAUUGUGAGGAAAAAAAAAUGGAGGCAUCCUUAAGGAGGAAAAAGUGUUUGCCUUUAGUUCCUGCAUUGUCCUGUACAGGGGCUCCUGAGCUUUGGAAGCCUGUUUCCAGUACAGGAGAACAACACCCCUGUCGGCCGCAGGAGACUUCGGUGCACAGUGACAACGCUGGAGUUCAAGAGGAAGCCAGCAGUGCUGCACCAUUGGCUUCAGACACCAUUGUUGUUGUUUGCCAGUCUUAAACUUAACUAGUUGCAGACGAAGACUACCUUGAAAUGCAGGCUUGUUGGGCUUGUUUUGAAUUUUAACCUCGGAUGGAAGAGCCCUAGUGCUGUCUGUCUCCAGGCGGGAUCAUGAUUACUAGGCUACAGGUGAUUAUCAACAAAGGAUGCCACGGUUGUAACUCUGCAAGGUGGUGUUCCAGUGGCAAACAGCUGUAUAAACUUGUAACAGGAACUACUGACAAUCAAACCUUAUAGCCGACUUUGGGAUCUGGCUUUAUUAUUCAGCAGCUAAAAGAUGAGUUCUAAUUGGCAGACUUCUGGCACUGGCACUUGUCCUCAUGUUUCUAUAGAAACUGGGCUGGAAGUCAGAGCUGCACAGAGGGAAAGGGAAUUUCAGCCUGUAUAGUUUGUUAAUAACAAAUUUAGUACAUGAAGUAUUGCCAAGUUACCAACAAUGAAAAUGGCAAAGAAGAUGAUGUAGGCUGUAAGUAGUGAAAAUGCGAUGGCUAGAGGAGCAAGCAGGUUAUUGAUGCUUCAAAUGAUAAGGUAAGACUUGUGCUGGUGAUACUUCUUGAUCAGCAACACAUUCAGAAGUUAGAUCUAUUUACGGGAUACCUGGAACAACAAAGAAGUCUUAGGAAACCCAAAUUCCAUUUUUCUAAGCUCUUUGCAAAAUGAAUGCAGAAGGCAUCUUUUCCCAGUAUGAUCCCAAUCUGAGGUCAAGAUGUGUGAGGAAGCAAUGUUUGUCUGCUGAUAGAGUCUAUCAUUUAUUACCUAUUCUAAGCACAUCUGCUGACAGAACCUAUCAUUUACUUAGCUUUUCUAGACACAUUCCAGAGUUUUGUAGAAGACCUUCAUGUUUAUUAUGAGUUUUUUCUGAUUGUCUUUAGAAAUCUCAUGUCGCUGAACUCUGGGACUUCCUAGUUAGGAGAAUCCUGCACUCUGAAGGCGUUCUAGACCCUUUGGUCCUGGAGGUGAGAAAGUGAGAUUGUUGAAUGGCUGGCUGGGAGACCUUCAGGUUAUUGU